UUGCAGUGAUGACCAACUUAGGACACCUUUGGAAAUAACCAUGAAAACAACCCAAGCAAACAGUCUGAGCAAC